rnacentral:rRNA from 1 species
UACGGGGGAGCAAGCGUUGUUCGGAUUUACUGGGCGUAAAGGGCGCGUAGGCGGUCAGCACAAGUCAGUUGUGAAAUCUCCGGGCUUAACUCGGAAAGGUCACUGAUACUGUGCGACUAGAGUGCAGAAGGGGCAACUGGAAUUCUCGGUGUAGCGGUGAAAUGCGUAGAUAUCGAGAGGAACACCUGCGGCGAAGGCGGGUUGCUGGGCUGACACUGACGCUGAUGCGCGAAAGCCAGGGGAGCGAACGGG